GUGCUCACUUCAGCAGUACAUUUACUAAAAUUGGAAUGAUACAAAGAAGAUUAGCAUGAUCCCUGUGCAAGGAUGACAUACAAAUUUGUGAAGUGUUCCAUAUAUUU